rnacentral:rRNA from 1 species
GAUGCACGCUGGCGGCGUGCCUAAUACAUGCAAGUCGAGCGAACGGACGAGAAGCUUGCUUCUCUGAUGUUAGCGGCGGACGGGUGAGUAACACGUGGAUAACCUACCUAUAAGACUGGGAUAACUUCGGGAAACCGGAGCUAAUACCGGAUAAUAUUUUGAACCGCAUGGUUCAAAAGUGAAAGACGGUCUUGCUGUCACUUAUAGAUGGAUCCGCGCUGCAUUAGCUAGUUGGUAAGGUAACGGCUUACCAAGGCAACGAUGCAUAGCCGACCUGAGAGGGUGAUCGGCCACACUGGAACUGAGACACGGUCCAGACUCCUACGGGAGGCAGCAGUAGGGAAUCUUCCGCAAUGGGCGAAAGCCUGACGGAGCAACGCCGCGUGAGUGAUGAAGGUCUUCGGAUCGUAAAACUCUGUUAUUAGGGAAGAACAUAUGUGUAAGUAACUGUGCACAUCUUGACGGUACCUAAUCAGAAAGCCACGGCUAACUACGUGCCAGCAGCCGCGGUAAUACGUAGGUGGCAAGCGUUAUCCGGAAUUAUUGGGCGUAAAGCGCGCGUAGGCGGUUUUUUAAGUCUGAUGUGAAAGCCCACGGCUCAACCGUGGAGGGUCAUUGGAAACUGGAAAACUUGAGUGCAGAAGAGGAAAGUGGAAUUCCAUGUGUAGCGGUGAAAUGCGCAGAGAUAUGGAGGAACACCAGUGGCGAAGGCGACUUUCUGGUCUGUAACUGACGCUGAUGUGCGAAAGCGUGGGGAUCAAACAGGAUUAGAUACCCUGGUAGUCCACGCCGUAAACGAUGAGUGCUAAGUGUUAGGGGGUUUCCGCCCCUUAGUGCUGCAGCUAACGCAUUAAGCACUCCGCCUGGGGAGUACGACCGCAAGGUUGAAACUCAAAGGAAUUGACGGGGACCCGCACAAGCGGUGGAGCAUGUGGUUUAAUUCGAAGCAACGCGAAGAACCUUACCAAAUCUUGACAUCCUUUGACAACUCUAGAGAUAGAGCCUUCCCCUUCGGGGGACAAAGUGACAGGUGGUGCAUGGUUGUCGUCAGCUCGUGUCGUGAGAUGUUGGGUUAAGUCCCGCAACGAGCGCAACCCUUAAGCUUAGUUGCCAUCAUUAAGUUGGGCACUCUAAGUUGACUGCCGGUGACAAACCGGAGGAAGGUGGGGAUGACGUCAAAUCAUCAUGCCCCUUAUGAUUUGGGCUACACACGUGCUACAAUGGACAAUACAAAGGGCAGCGAAACCGCGAGGUCAAGCAAAUCCCAUAAAGUUGUUCUCAGUUCGGAUUGUAGUCUGCAACUCGACUACAUGAAGCUGGAAUCGCUAGUAAUCGUAGAUCAGCAUGCUACGGUGAAUACGUUCCCGGGUCU